GAUCUUUCUCCGGGAACAACCGCCCGAGGAGCGGAUCUGCCAGGUCUGGAAAUCUCUUUGGAUCUCGGAAAAAUGGUUGUGCCUGUUACAUAGCCGGUAAAAUUCUAGAGCAAAGCAGAAGGAAAAUGCCUCUAUCUUGAGCAGAGUAGCCGUAGGUCCCCAUGACCCUCGAUGGCAAUGGCGACUUAUCACCGCCGGGGCCAAGCUUCGCUAGCCCGAAAUCAGAAAGCUUUGGAUUGAAAUCUUCAUCUAGCAAGAUGUUUGAUGACUUCAAGUCUCUAAAUAUUAUGGGAGGAUCUGCUUGGUCAUGCAGCUGAAUCGAAAUAAUGUUCGCAAACAAAGAACAGGAGCUUGAGGAGACUAGAUAGAGCGGUGAAAAAAGGUUUGAUAUUUUAUUUCAAAAAUAACCACUGUUGCAUGAGCUACUUUAGUUCAACUGUCCAAUUCUUUUCUUAUAAUUGUACACAUCAUGCUAUAAAUCAUUCCAUCCACGUUUAUCUAAUAUGCAAAACCACAUAAUCAUUUUGUAAAUAUUGUUAAACUAUAUGAAAACUUUAAAUGCACUAGAAUUAAGUAGACAGCAACUUCAUAAGCUUAGAGAAUAGAAUUGUACAUACCAAAGAGACAAUCUUCCAAAGAACCUCCUGGCAUAUAUUCAUAGACCAAAAUUCUUUGAUCUCCAUCUGCACAAUAUCCAUUAAACUUCACAAGAUUUGGAUGCUUUAGAAGGCUCAGUGCCUUAACCUCACCAAGAAAUUCCUUGUUUCCUUGUAGCCCAUUUCUAUCGAGCUGCUUCACGGCCACCACCUUCAAAAAUACACAACGUAAACAAUUUCCAUGAAGAUUCUUUUCUUUUUUCGAAUAUUAUAAAUACAGAAAAAUAAAUUUAAAUGUAUUGACACAUAAAAAGCAAUAUUAAUAUAUGUUUGGUUUAAAAAAUCCAAACAAAUUCUUAAGUCAUGCCUGACUAACCUCUUGUAAUCAAGAUAGAUAAAAUCUAACCAUCAUGAGUUGACCUAGGGGUAAAAAAAGGCAUAUAAUAUGUUCAAUCCAUGGUGGGGUCAAAUGAGUUUCUUUGACAUCGAAUAACCAAUCUUCCCUAGUAGUCAAAAAGGUCCAUAACCACUUAGAGGGUUUUGGGGACAACAACUAUUCUAACACUAUAAUAACCACCUCUUAUUACCGUAAAUACUAUUUCAAAACCCUCAACUAGCUACAAUCAACACUAUUUUAAAAUCUUUAUUUGUUAUAGUAUUUACUAUUUGCUACAGUUUUUACUAUUUUACAUUUAUCAUUUUUUAUUCUUUGCUACAAUAUUUACUAUUUCCUUCUCAAACUAAGUUUACACCUCAAACUCAUGCUAUUGUAAAAUAACUAUAAUAAUCUAGGAUUAUAAUAACCAACUCCUUAUCCUAAAGGUCUUUUUAUAAUUUAAUAACUUGUGAGUUUUCUUGACAUUCAAAUCUGGUAGGUUAUUCAGUAAGGUUGUGCAUAAACUGACUUGAACACUCAGAAAUAUUAGAAAAAAGAGCGAAAAAAGAUGGGUAGAAUUUGGUUAGUUACCUGGCCACUUUGAAGGGUAGCCUUAAAGACUUUCCCAAACCCACCUUCACCCAAAAGACAUUCCUGGCGGAAAUUCUUUGUAGCAGUGGCUAGCUCUCGGAAAGUGAAGUUCUGGGCAUCUAUUUUUUCACCUUCUUGUGGUUUGUCCUUGAUUUCCUCAACAGGCUUUGAUUUAACCUCUGUUUUUCAAAAAAAUAAAAAAUAAAAAUAAAGUUUAAUUCAA